CUCCAGCAGGUCGAACAUCCCAUUUUGAAAUAAAACUAUUCGCUGCACAAGUUUUCAAUUUUUUGUUCUUCCAUAAUCCAGCAUAUUUGAUCCCCCAUUUUGUGUGUCUAGCACAAGGUGCUAAAUAUUUCUUCCAGUCCAAUUUAGCUUGAUGAAUACGACACCAGCUAGUUUUAAAGUCAUUAGAGUAACGUUUCAAGAAAAACUUUUUGUGAUUAGAAUACCUUUUAUUUGUAUUAGUUUGUCCUCUCCACUUCUGUCUCUUUUUUAUUAUUUUCUUUUUAUUAAUGCCAUCAGUACUGGAAGCAUUGGAGAUGUUAU